GUGAAUCAUCCAAGUCAGUGGAGGAAGAGGCUGUUGACCAGGAUGAAGAUGAAAAUGACUCAGUCAUGAAUGGCUCUCCUGGAGGAAGAAGAGUAAGGCGAGCACUGGAAAGGGAAAUCUUGAAGAAAUCAGGUGAAUCAUCCAAGUCAGUGGAGGGAGAUGCUGUUGACCAGGAUGAAGAUGAAUGCCUCAAUCACGAAUGAUUCCCCUGGAGGAGGUAGACAAGGGGAAGCAGACGGAAAUCUCAAGGAAAAAAUUGA